rnacentral:rRNA from 1 species
AAUGGACGCAAGUCUGACCCAGCGACGCCGCGUGGAGGAGAAGGGCUUCGGCUCGUAAACUCCUUUUCCCGAGGACGAGAACAGGACGGUACUCGGGGAAUAAGUCUCGGCUAACUACGUGCCAGCAGCCGCGGUAAUACGUAGGAGGCAAGCGUUAUCCGGAAUUACUGGGCGUAAAGGGCGUCUAGGUGGCAGCCCAAGCGGGGUGUGAAAGCUCCUGGCUUAACUGGGAGAGUGCGCUCCGAACUGGGCAGCUAGAGGGCAGGCGACGGAGGUGGAAUACCCGGUGGAGUGGUGAAAUGCGUAGAGAUCGGGUGGAACACCAGUGGCGAAGGCGGCCUUCGAGCCUGUGCCUGACACUGAAGCGCGAGAGCGUGGGGAGCAAACGGGAUUAGAUACCCCGGUAGUCCACGCCGUAAACGAUGAUGACUAGGUGUAUGGGGUCUUAACAGGCCCUGUGUGCCGCAGCCAACGCGAUAAGUCAUCCGCCUGGGGAGUACGGCCGCAAGGCUA